rnacentral:tRNA from 1 species
UCCAUGGUGGUCCAGUGGCUAAGACUCUGCACUCCCAAAGCAGGGGGCCUGGGUUCGAUCCCUAAUCAGGGAA